rnacentral:ncRNA from 1 species
AGGUCACUCCCAGGAGUGGAGUCUUUGACUUAAUUUGACUAAACACAGGAAACCUUUCCAUGACUGGACAAUGAAGGGCUUUACAGAUGGCGCUUUCUCAGUGAUGUGGUUGGUGGUGCAUGGCUCCUCUUAGUUGGCGGCCUGGUUUGUCUGUGUAAGUUCUCUGUGCUAACUAGUGUGACCAGUGACAGCUGGUGUCCAACAUCUUAGAGGGACAAGUGGCAUUCAGUCACAUGAGAUUGAGCACUAACAGUUCUGUGAUGUCCUUGCAUAUCUGGCGCUGUGUUUGCUACACGUAAGAGCCCAGUGUGUUUGUUAACCCAUGCCCACAGGCAAAGGGUACCCUGCUGGACCCUCUUAUAGUGAUAGUAAUGGGAUUGUAAUUAUUUCCCAUGGAUGAGGAAAUCCCAGUCUGUGUCAUAACAGACGUCAAGAUCUCCCUGCUCU